rnacentral:misc_RNA from 1 species
CGCACAUUGCGCCCCUUGGUAUUCCGAGGGGCAUGCCUGUUCGAGCGUCAUUUAACCUCUCAAGCUCUGCUUGGUGUUGGGUGCUGGCCCACCAGGGCCCGCCCGUAACUCGUUGGCGGUUGUCACCGGCUGAAAGCGUAGCAAAAUAUGCUGGAGCCCGGAGGCGGCCUGUCAGGUACCCACAAUCAAAAGUUUGACCUCGGAUCAGGUAGGGAUACCCGCUGAACUUAA